CCUACGGGUGGCAGCAGUGAGGAAUAUUGGUCAAUGGACGAGAGUCUGAACCAGCCAAGUAGCGUGAAGGAUGACUGCCCUAUGGGUUGUAAACUUCUUUUAUAUGGGAAUAAAACGUUCCACGUGUGGGAUUUUGUAUGUACCAUAUGAAUAAGGAUCGGCUAACUCCGUGCCAGCAGCCGCGGUAAUACGGAGGAUCCGAGCGUUAUCUGGAUUUAUUGGGUUUAAAGGGAGCGUAGGUGGAUUGUUAAGUCAGUUGUGAAAGUUUGCGGCGCAACCGUAAAAUUGCAGUUGAAACUGGCAGUCUUGAGUACAGUAGAGGUGGGCGGAAUUCGUGGUGUAGCGGUGAAAUGCUUAGAUAUCACGAAGAACUCCGAUUGCGAAGGCAGUUCACUGGACUGCAACUGACACUGAGGCUCGAAAGUGUGGGUAUCAAACAGGAUUAGAUACCCUGGUAGUC
rnacentral:rRNA from 1 species